CCCUAAACCCUUAAUAUAAUUAUUUUCUUCUAUGGCUUGGUCAGCAGCUGUGCCCUUGGUGUUGCUGCCAUAAUGAGGUUCUCUUAAUGUUGUACAGUCCAGACACUACAUAAUGAAAACAGUAGAGGUGGGAACCCCUUGGCUCAGAAGUCGAUCGCCAUAGAUGGAUCAUCGUAAUAAGCUUCUUAUUUUCAAGCUGAAGAAGAGGGCGGAGGAAGGACUUUUUCCCACCCAGUCUCAGUGUGAAAGAAGAGAGCUGUGGGGGGAGGGGACACCUACCCAGACACAACCAUGUCUGACAUCCACGCGUGCUGAAUAGAAGCAGGGCUGCUACAAAGAAACCACAACCAAAGCAGAGGACAGAGAGACGGGGGAAGGGUGGGAGGGGAUCGGUGUGUGAAAGAUGCACAAGGGCUGCAUCUCUCAGAGUCCAGGAGAAACAAAAAAACAUUGUGUUGUGAAGGGAGGCUGAACCACCAGGCGCAAGCAAUGAGAAGCCGCUGAGCACAGCCUCCUCCUUCUGUCUCCCUGUGUGAGUCCGCCUCUGCCAGCUGAUCCCAAGCCCUGCGAUGAUUUAGAGUGUGCGGUGUGCAGACUCCCCUCCCUGCUGCCCCUGGCUGUGUUUGGGCUAUGGUCCUGACUCAGAAGCAGAGCAUCACCCAGAUGCGGCUCUGUGAAUGUAGCGGAGGUUAAGUCUGUGACAGCAGCAUGGGGGCCAAACAGAUGAAAUGCCUCUCCUCAGCCAGCCCUGCACACUCUCCUAAAGAGGAGUAUGUUAUCACCCAAACCACAGAUGGAUCGAAAGACGAAACAGCCAAUGAUCUCUCCAAGGUCCAAGGAGAAUAUCACGAGGACCAAUCAGGAGUUACAGAGAAGAAGUCGGCUGCAGAGGAGGUGCUGCUCUGUGGCUUGUGCCCAUCCCUGGGGCAGGAGGGGCAGGAGGGGGGUCAGGAG